rnacentral:lncRNA from 1 species
CUAAACAUUAUCCUUUCUCUCUGUCAAUUACUACGUACUAUGGUUUAAUUAUCACAUAAUCUCUACUAAUAAAAGGGACCUUUUGAGGCUCCAUAGAGCGUCCACAUCAGCAAAAAAAACUUCUCUCGAAAGAUGACACGUGGCAUAAAAUAUUACAAAUUUUUGAAAAUUAUAAAUAAUAUGUAAACAUACAACACAAAAAAUAGAAAAACUACAUUAAACAUAUGUAAGAUUACCAUUUUUCACUUAAAAAAAAAGACGGAUUAUCUCCAUAAUAUAACAUUACCGUUUUAUAAAAAAAACAAAAAACAUUAUAUAUAAUUUCAAGAAUAAUAAAUAUAUGUAAACAUACAACAUAAAAAAAUAGAAAUACUACAUUAAACAUAUGUAAGAUUACCAUUUUACAUUUUAAUUUAAAAAUAAUAAUAUGUAAACAUACAACAUAAAAAUGGAAAAACUACAUUAAUUAAACAUAUGUAAGAUUACCAUUUUUAGUGAAUAUUACAAAUUUUUGAAAAUUAUAAAUAAUAUGUAAACAUACAACACAAAAAAUAGAAAAACUACAUUAAACAUAUGUAAGAUUACCAUUUUUCACUUAAAAAAAAAGACGGAUUAUCUCCAUAAUAUAACAUUACCGUUUUAUAAAAAAAACAAAAAACAUUAUAUAUAAUUUCAAGAAUAAUAAAUAUAUGUAAACAUACAACAUAAAAAAAUAGAAAUACUACAUUAAACAUAUGUAAGAUUACCAUUUUACAUUUUUAUUUAAAAAUAAUAAUAUGUAAACAUACAACAUAAAAAUGGAAAAACUACAUUAAUUAAACAUAUGUAAGAUUACCAUUUUUCACUAAAAAAACGGAUUAUCUCCAUAAUGUAAUAUUACUAUUUUGUAAAAAAACAUUAUAUAUAAUUUCGAAAAUAAUAAAUAAUAUGUAAACAUACAACAUAAAAAAUGGAAAUACUACAUUAAACAUAUGUAAGAUUACCAUUUUACAUUUAAAAAUAACAAUAAUAUGUAAACACACAACAUAAAAAAAAUAGAAAAACUACAUUAAACAUAUGUAAGCUUACAAUUUUCACUAAAAAAACGGCUUAUCUCCAUAAUGUAACAUUACCAUUAUAUAAAAAAAGAAAAAAAACAUAAAUAUAACUAUUUGACUAUUUGUCCAAGUUCUUCUAUUGAACAUUGCCGCUUUACACUAAAAAUGGAAAAAUACAUUAAGAUUUAACCAUCUAUCUUAAAAUAUAAAAUAUAUAAAUUAACUAAAUAUAAAGUAUAAGAAAGAGAAAUACUCAAUAUAUAGAAAAAUAAAUAAUAAGUAAAUAUUAUAAAUAUACAAAUUAUAUAUACAAUAAUAAGUAAAUGCACAAUUUAUAAGAAAUGGAAAGAGUAUAUUAAAUAUUAAACAUCUAUCUUAAAAUGCAAAAUAUAGAUAUUAAGUAAAUAGAAAGUAUAAGAAAAAGAAAUACACAACUUAAAAACAAUGGAAAAAGUAUAUUAAGAUUUAAGCAUCCAUCUUAAAAUGUAAAAUAUAGAUAUUACGCAAAUAGAAAGUAUAAGAAAAGGAAAUACACAAUUUAAAAAAUGGACAAAGUACAUUAGUAUUUAAACAUCUAUCUUAAAAUGUAAAUCUAUCUUAAAAUAUAAAAUUAUUAGUAAAUAGAAAGUAUAAGAAAUAGAAAUACACAAUAUAAAAAAAAUUAGUAAAUAUAUAAUAUAAGUAAAUACCCAAUUAAAAAAAUGGAAAAUUACAUUAAGUUUUAAAAAUAUAUCUUAAAAUUUAAAAUGUAGAUAUUACGUAAAUAGAAAGUAUAACAAAUGAAACGUACAUUAAGAUUUAAACAUCUAUAUUAAAAUGUAAAAUAGAGAUAUUAAGUAAAUAAAAAGUACAAGAAAUAGAAAUACAUAUACAGGAAAAUAAAUAAUAAGUAAAUAAUAAGUAAAUAAUGUAAAUAUAUAAUACAUGAAUUAUAUAUAUAAUAAUAAGUAAAUACACAACAAAAUUUAAAAAAUGGAAAAAGUUCAUUAAGCAUUAAUCAUCUAUCUUAAAAUGUAAAAUAUAUAAUAUAAGGAAAUACACAAUUUGAAAAAAUGGAAAAAGUACAUUAAGAUUUAAAUAUCUAUUUUAAAAUAUAAAAUAUAGAUAUUACGUAAAAAAAAAUAAGAAAUGGAAAUAAACAUUUUAAAAAAUGGAAAAAGUAUAUUAAGAUUUAAACAUCUCUCUUAAAAUGUACAUCUAUCUUAAAAUGGUAAUAAAUUAUAUAAAAAUAGAAAUACCACAUUAAAAAAAAGUAUAGUUUUACAUCAAGAAAGUCCCUAUAAAACUCAUUAUACCAUCAACAUCAACCUCACACUAUCAAGGAAAGCUUCAAAGCACUCGAGCAAAAAAAUGGUUCCACCAUUAACUCUUGCCGUCCAAAAACUUUUAACGACCUUGAAGGAGAUUUUUUAUAAGAACGAACUUUUUAUUAGGUGGAUUCAUUGUUGGGAACCCCGCAACUUCCAAAGGGCAAACUUAUUCAUGAGAAUUGAAUUGUUUUUCAUAGACUCAAAGGUAUUCUUACAAAUUUAAAUUAAUCUAAUCCAUAAUUUUAUUGUUAAUAUUCAUACUAACUCUUUCAUGAUCAAACCAUUACAGUUAAUAUCCAUUCAAGCGUUUAUCACGGAACACUUCCUUCCUCGCCG